rnacentral:rRNA from 1 species
AUUGAACGCUGGCGGUAGGCUUAACACAUGCAAGUCGAGCGGAAACGAAGAAUAGCUUGCUAUUCUGGCGUCGAGCGGCGGACGGGUGAGUAAUGCUUGGGAAUCUGCCUAGUCGAGGGGGACAACAGUUGGAAACGACUGCUAAUACCGCAUACGACCUACGGGUGAAAGGGGGCCUCUUCUUGAAAGCUCUCGCGACUAGAUGAGCCCAAGUGGGAUUAGCUUGUUGGUGAGGUAAGAGCUCACCAAGGCGACGAUCCCUAGCUGGUCUGAGAGGAUGAUCAGCCACACUGGAACUGAGACACGGUCCAGACUCCUACGGGAGGCAGCAGUGGGGAAUAUUGCACAAUGGGGGAAACCCUGAUGCAGCCAUACCGCGUGUAUGAAGAAGGCCUUAGGGUUGUAAAGUACUUUCAGCGAGGAGGAAAGGUAGUAGAUUAAUA